ACUCAUACCUUGUAGGGGAAAUAUUGUGUUGUAAAAAUGGUUUUCCCAGGGAGAGGCUCAUCCAUUGCACUUUGGGUGUGCUGUUGACCCCUGUGAUUUCCCCAAAUGUGGGGAAUUCAGCUGCAUAAUUUGUGUUAAUGGGAGAUUGCACUUUUGAUUUCCCA
rnacentral:snRNA from 1 species